UUAUUGCAAUAAACCGAUAUAUCGCGUGUAUGUUUGUUUAUUUGUACUGUUAGAUCAUAGAUCAUUAUGGGCUAAUCAAGCAUUUUUUGUAGUCCAACAAAUGAUAAUUACCUGACGUUUACCGUUAUUUGAGUGAUUGUUGUUGACAUAUUUCUGCACCUGUGGUAUAUAGUCCUGUAUUGCCAAUAAUGAUAUCAUAAUACGAUAUUAACGGAAAGAAAAUGGACCUUUCAAUAUUCCUUGUAUCUGUUGUAUCGUGCAUCCUAACGAGUAAAUGGGUUGAUGCUGUUAUUUUUCCAUUUAAUCCCUACGCACUUCAAAGACCAAGUUUACGCAGCCCUGUAAAAAAAAACGACAGAGGAAACACACCUGUAAAUACUGUCCAGGAAAAAGUUGUUUGUCCGUCAUAUAAAAUCUAUUACGAAGGUGAUAAACUGAUACUGGUACUGCAGGCCGGAAAAUGUGAGCUUAUUGUAGAAAAAUAUGCAAUUGAAGAUUCAAUCACCAUGACAGGGAAGACACCAGAAAAAAAGAAGACCUACGUACCAAUUCUACAUUUCAAAAAUAUACUACCAAUCUGUCGACAACUGCCGUAUGAAUACAAAGGAUUUCUCGUUACUGUAAAAACCACCAAAAACUGUCAGUUCACCUUCGCAGUGAAACAAUUCAGAGAGAUGAAUCCAUUUUCUCCCCAACCGAAACUGAUUUCACGACCAGUUGUUGUAAAUUCAUAGCCCAUGGCAGCUUGACAGUCAGUAAAGGAAGAGAAAACAGAUCGUGAAAAUCCAUCUUGUGUUUUAUUUUUUUUUUAUUUAACAAGUCGGUCAUUUAAGAUACUAUAACCAGACUGAAAAAUAUUAAAAUGAAUAGUUUCCAGACAUGUAUAUGUUAAUGGUCAAAUUCUGUAUAUUUUAUGCAGAAGAUAUCUAAAUUUCAAUAAAAUUCUUUACAAAAAAAAACAGUUAUAUUUUUUGCCUUUCAAAAAAGAAUUUCGUACUUUCCACGACUUGAACUUCACACAACAUUGAAUAUACUAAACCCAAUUCAAGAAUGGGGCUGUAUUGAGGCCACUAGUCCGUUCGUCCGUUUUUUCAUCCAUUCGUACGUCCAUUCGUCCAUUCGUCCAACAAAUAUUUUUGUUUUAUUUUUUUCAGAAACUUCUUAACUUAAGACCAUCCCCAAUUUUUGGUGGGGUUUGUUUUUCUCAGUCUAUAGUUUAUUAUGUUGUGUUUUGUUGAUUGUAGCACGUCUUUGAUAGAUUUUCGUUUUCGCCUCGGUGGUUGUGUGGUCUCGAGUGCGGGAGGUCUUCGGUUCGAACCCCGACCGUGUCAAACCGAAGACUUUAAAAUUAGUCAUUGCUGUUUCUUCACCAAGCAUAUGGCAUUAAGGAGUAAGAACAAAGACUGGUCGGCUUGGAAUCAGAAUCAUAAGUCCGGGUAGGCUAACAUAUGCAUGUCUUCCUGCAGACUAUUACCUCUUGAACUCCGAUUCAGCGUAUCGAUCUAUUACAAAGCAGGGUUCAUAUUCAUACCACAUUAACAUCUUCUCGUCCUGAAUAUGCAUUUGAUUUGCCGCUGGACGUUUAUUAUCCAUCUAUCCUCAUUAUCCUCAUCGUUUUCUGCCAUGGCGUUGUCAGUUUGUCUUUGACUUAUGAGUUUGAAUAUCCCUUUGGUAUGACUACAUAUUUGGUCGACCAAGCAGUAAGGAUUUGUAACAUCUAUGCGCUUUUCGGAUCUCUCUGAAACCUACUUCCUGUUUUCCAAUAAUAGUACGUUGAAAUACGAUUGGGGAACGCUUAUCACGACAACGCAGUUUGCUUUGUUGUUAUUCGAGAAAUUUCAAUUCUUUCCUGUUCUAUUUUGCACAAUCGGUAUACAUCUACGUCAUUCAGUCCGUGGUGGAUAGUUGUCUCAUUGGCAAUUAUAAUACAUCUUAUUAUUUUCAUACUUUUUUAUGAUCUUUCCUUUAUAGUUGUCUCUUGUGCAUCUUCCUUUAUAUCACAUCGUUUUUCAUUUAUACAAAGUUUUACAAGUGUGAUAACUCAUUGUUGGACGUUAACCAAACAAGCAAUCAGUCAUUGCUU